GCCCAGCCUAGAGCACUGCAUGCAGGAGAGCCAAGGCUGGAGCCUUUGGAGGCAGGCUGCCAGGAGCCACAGGGCAGAGGGAGCCCCCUAGCCUGGCCUUCCUACAUGCCUGACUACUCAAACGAGGGAGAGGGGAGACCACCAUUGGUACCGGCAUCCACUGAGGCCCCAGGCAGGGGCUGUCAUCACAGCAGAAUGAGAGCUGAGAGCUGAGGCCUGAGCGAGCUCAGGCUACCGGCCUUGACAGUAAGCUUCCCAGAGGGAGAUGUCUACAAUUGUGGCCCAGCGUGAUGGCCCACACCGCUCCAGCCCCUAUACAAGUCAUCCCUGGCCUGACUCCAGCAUCAGCAUCCAUUGCAAAUGUCUGUGGACACGGUGGUACCCAAGGCUGAAUUCAGAGCUGACACAAACUUGCAGUCGACUGUCUCAGAAUGCCAAGAUCUUCAACAUACCCCUGGCUGCCCUCAUCCAUUCAGGAGCUCUGAGAGGCUACUUCUGUUCUUGCUGGGGACCCAGGCGCCUUGUUUGGUGGCAGGCCUCCUGCUCCCUAUGUGAGCAGCCUGAUUAUGGGAGGGGAAGUCUGGCUUUCCUUCUCUCUCUUCUACUCCUUCAGGGCUCCCCACUCUGGACCAUGCCUGACACCUAUAGCAUCCCCUUCUAUCUGACUUCUGGUCCUGCUACAAGCUCCUCAAAGCAUCUCCAAUCCCGACUCCAGCAUCCUUUUCCCCACCAUAUUCUGGCCAUAGGCCAAGUUGCCCUAAGCAUGUUUAUGCCUCUCUCUGCUGGGCAUACUGCUCACACCUGUGACAGUUUGCCUCACAGGGAGCCUGGCCACAGCAUCCUAACAUCACAUCCAUCAUUCCAAAAGAUAUUUACUGCGUAUGUGCCAUGUAUAGAGUGCUCUCCCAGGACAGUGAGCAAACAGUAAACAGCUUCAUCCUUUGGGGUUCACAUUCUGCUUCCAAGGGGCAGGCUGGAACCAGGUGAAGCAGAGCGUGGUAGCAUAGCUGAUCAUUCUAGCAUUCAGAAGGCCGAGGUGAGUGGACUCAGAGUUUAAGGCCAGCCUGCUCAUAUCAAGACCUUGUCUCAAAAAAAAAAAAAGAAAGAAAGAAAGAAAGAAAGAAAGAAAGAAAGAAAGAAAGAAAGAAAGAAAAGAAAAAAGAAAAAAGAAAAAAGAAAAAGAAAAAGAAAGAGAAAAAUAAAACUACAAGGGAACCAGCUAGAUGGCUCAGAUGGAUAAAGGUGCUUGCUGUUAAACCUGACAGCAUGAGUUUGAUUCCUGGAACGCACUUAAAAGGAGAGAACAGACUGCCCAAGACUGCUCAAAGCUAUCCUCUAAUGAACACGUAAUGAAAUGUGUUUACUCCAGUAAACACAAUAGACAAGUAAUAGAUGGGUGUUUUGCUAUUAUUUUUGAUGGACAGGGAGAUUGCAGUGUUAGACUGCACACAGUAAGUGCUACGGAAAAAAAUGGAAAGGGGAGUCUGACAGCAGAAGAGGAGGCAGGUGCUGUACUAAAUACGUAGUGAAGGGCAGGACUCGGUGACAAGGUGCACAUGAACUGUGGCCAAAAACCAACCAACCAAACAAACAAACAGCAAAAUGAGGUGAAAUAUGAGAACCAAGUGUGGUGACUCAAACCUGCAACCUCAGCAUUCGGGGAGGCCGAGGCAGGAUGACUAUCACAAGCUGGGGGCUGUCCUGUCUGUCCUGAAGGGCAUUCGACAGAGGGCAUGCAGAUAGCAACACGAAAAGCAGAAGGAGAAGCCCUAAAGUGGGACAUGCCUGGUAGGUUCCAGGAGUUUGGAGGCUGGAGCUAAGAAAACGGGAGCAGACUGAAGCCAGGGAACAAGAUGCAUAUGGGUCGGGUGAGGCUGCAAGGUUUCACUUGUGGGCCUUGCUGCCCACUGUGGAAAGGGCUCUGUUUCCACUGGGCCUAAUAAAACAGGCUGUCACUGGAAGAGCAGAGGUAGUGGGGAGAAACAGCCCCAGUUCCAUUUAGUUGGGCAAACUUGGGCUAUUGUAUUUAAAAGAAACAGAAGGGGCUGGAAUGAAUCAGGGAGAGCUCUUGGAACAGGGCUGGCCCCCACCAGGGUGUGGAGGCCAGAGAAGGGACACAGAGCCAGGAAGACACACCUACCUCUGGCUUUGUGCCUGUAAGAAAGACGCUGCCUUAGCAUUAGCUAGCAUGAGCACUGGAGCCCUGGGUUUCCAGCUGAGCUGCAGGGAUCAAGUAGCAUUAGCUAAGGUGCUGUCUGGAUUCUGUUCUGUGGUUGUGAUGGAAUGUCUGAGGCUGGGAAAUUUAUAAAGAACAGAAGCACCUAUCUUAGCUGGAAAGUCCAGCAUGGAAAGUUUACUUCCAGGAAGGGACCCUGACCUAUGUCAUUUCAUAAGAGAUGGCACAGGGCCGAGCAUAGUGGUGCACAUCUUUAAUUCCAGCACUCAGGAGGCAGAG